AGAAUAUAUACGUGCAAUAAAAGUGUUGGAACUAGGUCAGGAUCGGAAGAUAGCAGCCUUAACAAUUAACUUUUAUGUGCACUUUUAUUUUGGAGU
rnacentral:SRP_RNA from 1 species